CCUACGGGGGGCAGCAGUGGGGAAUAUUGGACAAUGGGCGAAAGCCUGAUCCAGCCAUGCUGCGUGUGUGAAGAAGGCCUUCGGGUUGUAAAGCACUUUCAGUGGGGAAGAAAGCCUUGGGGCUAAUACCCUCGAGGAAGGACAUCACCCACAGAAGAAGCACCGGCUAACUCCGUGCCAGCAGCCGCGGUAAUACGGAGGGUGCGAGCGUUAAUCGGAAUUACUGGGCGUAAAGCGCGCGUAGGCGGUCUGAUAAGCCGGUUGUGAAAGCCCCGGGCUCAACCUGGGAACGGCAUCCGGAACUGUCAGGCUAGAGUGCAGGAGAGGAAGGUAGAAUUCCCGGUGUAGCGGUGAAAUGCGUAGAGAUCGGGAGGAAUACCAGUGGCGAAGGCGGCCUUCUGGACUGACACUGACGCUGAGGUGCGAAAGCGUGGGUAGCAAACAGGAUUAGAUACCCGUGUAGUC
rnacentral:rRNA from 1 species